GAUGAACGCUAGCGAUAGGCUUAACACAUGCAAGUCGAGGGGCAGCACAAGGUAGCUUGCUAUCUGGGUGGCGACCGGCGCACGGGUGCGUAACGCGUAUGCAACUUUCCCUAUACAGGAGGAUAACCCGUCGAAAGACGGACUAAUACUGCGUAUGCUCACAACUUGGCAUCAAGUGGUGAGGAAAGAAAUUCGGUAUAGGAUAGGCAUGCGUCCCAUUAGCUUGUUGGUGAGGUAACGGCUCACCAAGGCAACGAUGGGUAGGGGAACUGAGAGGUUUAUCCCCCACACUGGUACUGAGACACGGACCAGACUCCUACGGGAGGCAGCAGUGAGGAAUAUUGGUCAAUGGGCGCGAGCCUGAACCAGCCAAGUCGCGUGAAGGAUGACUGUCUUAUGGAUUGUAAACUUCUUUUAGACGGGAAUAACAAGAGUCACGUGUGACUCCCUGCAUGUACCGUAUGAAUAAGCAUCGGCUAACUCCGUG
rnacentral:rRNA from 1 species